GGGGCUGUUCCUCUGGCACAGUCCAAUACAAGUGCGUAAAAUCUCUAUUAUGUCAGUGACCUCUUUCUUGCUUAAAAUAGCUAUGAAAUGCUCCGGAGCCGUGGCACAAUGUUCACUUUCAACAGCAGUAUCAAGCAGGAUAAAUUUAUCACUGAGUGAAGAUAUAACAAGCAAAAGGGCGCUUCCGAUGUCACCAACCCUUUCUAACAAGAAAGCUGCUGCGUCUAUAACUCCAUACUCCUGGCAUAAAUGCAAGCAGCGCUCCACCCUGUAGCUUUCGGAAGUCUCCAAGAAUCUGAGAACUGACUUACGCUCGUACCUACAUAAUAGCUCAAUAUAGAGCUCCGUCAUUUCAUCAGUUAUGUGAAUUGGAUAGUUCUGCAGGAGUUUAGGUAAGUCAGACAAGGCUUCCAGGUAGACUUCAGAGGACAUAUGUUUCUUAUUUCUUCCACUGGGGAAGUCUGAAGCAUCCAGUUUUCUUAAAGAAGAGAAGUUUAGGGUGCCUGUUGAAUGAACUUCAAUGAGAGUCUUCAGAUAAAGGAAAAGACUUUCUGGAUUAGCCUGCAGCUGAGACAAAAUGUAAUCGCUCUCCUCUCCAAAAUGAUUGACAAUCAGAAAAAAAGUUCCUUCCCUGUUCAACUUGAGUAGAUCUGGGAUUCGAGAAAUGACUGCUGAUCUGAAAUCAUCAUAUUCUUUGCCUCUCAGUUGCCGCAACAUGUCAUCAACAUAUACAAAAGCAAGAAUAGGCUCAUCAACAGCUUUCAUAUAACUGUCCAGAGCAGAAAGAUACUGAUGUGUGAUGGCAUGAAUUAAGCCGCAGACCUGAUGCAGCUGAGCCCUCUCACACAAAUUCAG
rnacentral:misc_RNA from 1 species